rnacentral:rRNA from 1 species
GGGGGUAAAUUUAAUAAUUUAUAAAUAUGAAAAAAAAUUUUAAUAUAAUAUAUUUAAUGGGGGUUAAAGUAUUUUUAUAGAAAAAAUUUAAAAAUUUAUAGUGAAAUAGUAUUGUAAAAGAAAAUUGAAAAUAUUGAAAUAAAAAUUUAUUUAAAAGUAAAUUUUAUUUAUUGUAUCUUGUGUAUCAGAGUUUUUUAAUUAAAAGAAAUUAGUUAAAUUUAUUUCGAAAUUUAAAGAGUUAAUUAAUUAAAAAAGUUAAUGUUGCAUAAUUAUUUUAAAUAAUUAAUUAGAAAUGAAAAGUUAAUCGUUUUGAAUGAUAUCUAAUUUUUUUAGAAAAAAGUUUAAUUUUAAAUAAAUUUUUAAAUUUAUUUAUUAAUUAAUAAAUUUAAAAAUUUAAUUUUAUAUUUUAAGGGAUAAGCUUUAAAUUAUAUUUUUAUAAUAGUAAUAGAAAUAAUUGAAAUUUUUAAAAUUUAUAUUUUUUAUAAAUUAUAGUUUUUUAUAAAUAAUUUCAUUUAAUUAAAAUUUUACAUUAAUUUAAAUUUUUAUAAAAAAAUAUUUUUUAAUAAAAUAAAAAUAGAUAUAAUGAUAAAAUUAGUAUAUAAUUUAUAAAUUAAAUAAAAAAUUAUUUAAAUUAAUAAAAAGGAAUUCGGCAAAAAU